rnacentral:rRNA from 1 species
UGUAACGGGGCUAAACCAUGCACCGAAGCUGCGGCAGCGAACGUAUCACUUAAAGCGAUUCAGCGGGUUACGAUUGACGGAGCGAAGCGACGUCAAAGCGUAUACAAAGUCGAGUCGGUUUAAGGAUACGUUCGUUGGGUAGGGGAGCGUUCUGUAAGCCUGCGAAGGUGGCCUGUGAGGGUUGCUGGAGGUAUCAGAAGUGCGAAUGCUGACAUAAGUAACGAUAAAGCGGGUGAAAAGCCCGCUCGCCGGAAGACCAAGGGUUCCUGUCCAACGUUAAUCGGGGCAGGGUGAGUCGACCCCUAAGGCGAGGCCGAAAGGCGUAGUCGAUGGGAAACGGGUUAAUAUUCCCGUACUUGGUGUUACUGCGAAGGGGGGACGGAGAAGGCUAUGUUGGCCGGGCGACGGUUGUCCCGGUUUAAGCGUGUAGGCUGGUUUUCCAGGCAAAUCCGGAAAAUCAAGGCUGAGGCGUGACGACGAGGCACUACGGUGCUGAAGCAACAAAUGCCCUGCUUCCAGGAAAAGCCUCUAAGCAUCAGGUAACACGAAAUCGUACCCCAAACCGACACAGGUGGUCAGGUAGAGAAUACCAAGGCGCUUGAGAGAACUCGGGUGAAGGAACUAGGCAAAAUGGUGCCGUAACUUCGGGAGAAGGCACGCUGACACGUAGGUGAAGUGAUUUACUCAUGGAGCUGAAGUCAGUCGAAGAUACCAGCUGGCUGCAACUGUUUAUUAAAAACACAGCACUGUGCAAACACGAAAGUGGACGUAUACGGUGUGACGCCUGCCCGGUGCCGGAAGGUUAAUUGAUGGGGUCAGCGCAAGCGAAGCUCCUGAUCGAAGCCCCGGUAAACGGCGGCCGUAACUAUAACGGUCCUAAGGUAGCGAAAUUCCUUGUCGGGUAAGUUCCGACCUGCACGAAUGGCGUAAUGAUGGCCAGGCUGUCUCCACCCGAGACUCAGUGAAAUUGAACUCGCUGUGAAGAUGCAGUGUACCCGCGGCAAGACGGAAAGACCCCGUGAACCUUUACUAUAGCUUGACACUGAACAUUGAGCCUUGAUGUGUAGGAUAGGUGGGAGGCUUUGAAGCGUGGACGCCAGUCUGCGUGGAGCCGACCUUGAAAUACCACCCUUUAAUGUUUGAUGUUCUAACGUGGACCCGUAAUCCGGGUUGCGGACAGUGUCUGGUGGGUAGUUUGACUGGGGCGGUCUCCUCCUAAAGAGUAACGGAGGAGCACGAAGGUUGGCUAAUCCUGGUCGGACAUCAGGAGGUUAGUGCAAUGGCAUAAGCCAGCUUGACUGCGAGCGUGACGGCGCGAGCAGGUGCGAAAGCAGGUCAUAGUGAUCCGGUGGUUCUGAAUGGAAGGGCCAUCGCUCAACGGAUAAAAGGUACUCCGGGGAUAACAGGCUGAUACCGCCCAAGAGUUCAUAUCGACGGCGGUGUUUGGCACCUCGAUGUCGGCUCAUCACAUCCUGGGGCUGAAGUAGGUCCCAAGGGUAUGGCUGUUCGCCAUUUAAAGUGGUACGCGAGCUGGGUUUAGAACGUCGUGAGACAGUUCGGUCCCUAUCUGCCGUGGGCGCUGGAGAACUGAGGGGGGCUGCUCCUAGUACGAGAGGACCGGAGUGGACGCAUCACUGGUGUUCGGGUUGUCAUGCCAAUGGCACUGCCCGGUAGCUAAAUGCGGAAGAGAUAAGUGCUGAAAGCAUCUAAGCACGAAACUUGCCCCGAGAUGAGUUCUCCCUGAGACUUAGAGUCUCCUGAAGGAACGUUGAAGACGACGACGUUGAUAGGCCGGGUGUGUAAGCGCAGCGAUGCGUUGAGCUAACCGGUACUAAUGAACCGUGAGGCUUAACCUUAC